UACAGAGGUCCCGAGCGUUGUUCGGAUUCAUUGGGCGUAAAGGGUGCGUAGGCGGUCUUCUAAGUUUGAUGUGAAAUCCCGGGGCUCAACCCUGGAAUUGCAUUGAAUACUGGAGGACUAGAGUACCGGAGAGGAAACUGGAAUUUACGGUGUAGCAGUGAAAUGCGUAGAGAUCGUAAGGAAGGCCAGUGGCGAAGGCGAGUUCCUGGACAGUUACUGACGCUGAGGCACGAAGGCCAGGGGAGCAAACGGG
rnacentral:rRNA from 1 species